rnacentral:sRNA from 1 species
CUGCACGUGUAGAGAUAUUUGCUGAAUGUGUUGUAAUUCCCUUGAUUUUCUCUUGCACUGCUACUCUUGACAUUAUCUCUUUUCUACCAACAAUUUCGUGUGCCCUUCUGCCAGCUAAGACUCCUUUCCUGUAGUUAAUGUGCACAUCUCUUGCGUUAGUUCCUAUAUGCCAAGUCUCCGGUACGGUACGUCACUAAGGAAUAAUUGUUAUGGACAGACUCCGAACUUCCGCUUUGCCAGUUCAAAUCUACAACUUCAAAAUCUUGUCAUUUUUUAGCUUACCCGGAUGGACAGCUGGGGUUUGAUAUUGACAUCAAACAAUAUCCAAAACUGACGACUGGGUGGCAACAACAACAACAGAUUGACACCUCAGCAAUGCAAUGCAUUCCUGUUCAAGCACAGGGAUGGAAACCCAGCUAUAUACCUAUAUACCUUGUUUGUAUAACCUGUUGUUUUGUGAGGGUUUUCUCUAAGAGACAUUUUGAAAGUUAUUGAGUUCAAGCUGCUCCUCCUCCUCUCCCAGCCCACCGAAACAGGGUCUCGAUCCCAAUUUUCAUGCUCUUAUUUAUAUGGCUGGUGGAAACGGAGAUAAGAGCCUACCCUGAUUUUUGUAGAUACAUACAUGUAUUUGAUCAGGUCGAUCCGUU